rnacentral:rRNA from 1 species
AUUGAACGCUAGCGGGAUGCCUUACACAUGCAAGUCGAACGGAGUGGCGAACGGGUGAGUAAUGUAUAGGAACGUGCCCAGUAGCGGGGGCUAACUACGCGAAAGCGUCGCUAAUACCGCAUACUAUUGGAGCGGCCGAUAUCGUAUUAGCUAGUUGGUGGGGUAACGGCGCAACAAGGCGACGAUCAGUAGCUGGUGUGAGAGGACGACCAGCCACACUGGGACUGAGAAACGGCCCAGACUCCGACGGGAGGCAGCAGUGGGGAAUUUUGGACAAUGGGGGAAACCCUGAUCCAGCCAUGCCGCUUGUGAGAUGAAGGCCUUCGGGUUGUAAAGCACUUUUGGCAGGAAAGCGGUACCUGCAGAAUAAGCACCGGCUAACUACGUGCCAGCAGCCGCGGUAAUUC